UACGUAGGUGGCAAGCGUUAUCCGGAUUUAUUGGGUGUAAAGGGCGUGUAGGCGGGAGCGCAAGUCAGAUGUGAAAACUCAGGGCUCAACCCUGAGCCUGCAUUUGAAACUGUGUUUCUUGAGUGCUGGAGAGGCAAUCGGAAUUCCGUGUGUAGCGGUGAAAUGCGUAGAUAUACGGAGGAACACCAGUGGCGGAGGCGGAUUGCUGGACAGUAACUGACGCUGAGGCGCGAAAGCGUGGGGAGCAAACAGG
rnacentral:rRNA from 1 species